UAAUGAACAAGAAUCUUGAAUAAAAAAAAAAAAAAAAGGAUUCGAAAUAGAUUACACUCAUAAUGGAAAAAGAAAAACAAGGGGUUCUUAUUGAAUACAUCACUGAAUUUUAAAUAUAAAUGUAGAAAAAGAGAUUAAUCUUGCACCAAAAUCUUCGUCCUCUUCCAAUCAAUGCUUCAAAACGUGAAUUUCUUGAUAUUUUCCUCUCUUGCAUUGCGUUCUUUAAUCUCUAUCUCUCAAUGUGUGGAAUCCCAUCAAAAGUGUCAAAACUUACAUUUAUACUCCUCACAUUUGUGUCGAAUGUAGGAUUCUUAUGGGCUUCAAAAUGAGCCAGACGCCGUGGCUCUACAACUCUAUCUCCAUCGAUUUUUGGUGGCCUCAGUGCCACGAGAAUAGUGCCGCAGUGCCACACCUCUGUCAUGGUAGCUCGUAGGUGCUACAAUUUUGGCGCUGUGGUGCCAAUAGUCCUUUCUCUUCAUGGUUAGACUCUUUUGCCCUUUUUUCUAUCUUGUUUUCUCCAUCCUUGCCAAUAGCCUUUUUAUCAUAUCUUUCAUUGUUUUUCAUCAUCCCACUACUUCUACAAAACAAUACUAAUAAACACAUUAAAGACGAACACUACUCGUAAAAUCUAAUUCACAAUCAAGUUAAAAAUGGAAUAUAACUCUUGAGUAAAACACAUUCAUCAAAUAACCCCAAAUUUAAUAGUUUGCUAUUCCUCGAGCAAACACAAGAAAAAUGAAAAUAACUAAGAACACAGACAAAGAUUCACUAUUGAGAACAUUAUAUCACAUUCAUGAACGUUUUCAAAAUUGCUAUGCAAGAGCUGACCUUCCACUUAUUCAAUGCAAAACAAGUGUGCAUGUGAAAGAUCAAGUGCAAUGCCAUACACUCACUAAUUGGUUCACUUCCAACCUUCAAUGAUCAAUUAUUUCCUUUAUUCGCUGGUGAGCUUCACACAUCCCCAAACUUGUUUUCUUCUAUUCUCUAACCAUAGUGUAAUUCUAAAGUUUAGUCUUACUUAUCAAUUUCUCACACUACUCUAAUUUGAU
rnacentral:lncRNA from 1 species